UACAGAGGGGGCAAGCGUUAUUCGGAAUUACUGGGCGUAAAGGGUGCGCAGGCGGUUCCGCAUGUCGGGCGUGAAAUCCCCGGGCUUAACCUGGGAAUGGCGUCCGAAACUAUGGGACUGGAGUGUGGCAGAGGGAGGUGGAAUUCCACGUGUAGCGGUGAAAUGCGUAGAGAUGUGGAGGAACACCGAUGGCGAAGGCAGCCUCCUGGGCCAACACUGACGCUCAUGCACGAAAGCGUGGGGAGCAAACAGG
rnacentral:rRNA from 1 species